rnacentral:tRNA from 1 species
AAAUCUCCUUUUUCUGA